AAUAAAUAAAUAAAACGCAAAGGAUUUAAAACAAGACAAGACAUUUAUUCUUUUCUUAUGGAACAGACAGAGGUGCGUGGUCCUGAGUCAGUGGGCAGUUCGGCUCCACAGGAACCUCUGCUCCCAGGGAACCUUCUGCCCUACCGACCUGCGGUUUCCCAGCUGCUGUCAUUGCCCGGGGUGGACGUCGUCUCCUCCUCCUCCUCCUCCUCCUCCUCUACGUUCCAGUUCAAGGGCUUUUGUCUUCCAGGAGAUGACCUGGAAGUUGUGCACAUCACUUGGGCUCCCCUCUUGUUGUCACAGGGCCACACCUCGUUGCCAGGGAGGCGGGGAACGUAAACUUCCGGGUAGUCCUAUUCCCAGCGGGGACCUAGGAGGUCCUCUCCCGAAGAGGAAGGGAAGGAGAAUGCGCACAGACCAGGGGGUGCGGGUGCUACUUGGCAGAAUCUGCCCCAUCACAGGGGUCUUUCCUCCAUCUCUCUCUCUUGCUUUCCAUCCUGCUGAGAUGUCGCUUUGAUCAAAUGAAGCUUCCUCCGACCACUCCCAGGCAGACCUUCCACCCCCCACCCCCUCGCUACCUCCGCUCCUGCGCUGCUCUGGUUCUACCCCUGAGACAGCAGUUUCUAAACCGGCUCAGAACUCAUCUGUCUGUUGCCUCGCUCUCCCUCUGCACCGUGAACAGCUUUGAGAACAGAGACCUCGCCUGAUUCAUCUCCGUGUUCCUAUUCCUCUCACAGCGCUUGGCUUCUGGACGUGGUCAGCGGAUUUAUACGAGACAGAAUGAAUAAUUCAAGGCAAUGUUAUUUGACUUUGCAUGUGGCUUGCUUAUGGAAGGACAGUGCUUCACCUCCCAAGUGUGUAUCAUUUGCAUAGGCUGUGUUGCUUUCCUGCAGGGCUGAGUCUCUGUGCUCCCAGGAUGAGCUAUCUGAACCAGCGCUUGUCCCAGCUCAUCCUGCCUGCAGCUUCUCCAGCCUGAAGUACAGAGCAUCCUCUGCCUGCAGCGCAGCCCCCUCUUGGCCUCUGAAGACAGGAUGUAGCCCAUGAUGGCAGCUUCGUCUCACUUUGCUUGGGAUCUGGGAGGCCCAUUACAUGCCUGCUGAGCCACUGAGCCACGAUCUCCGCUAAUCUUCACUCGACUUCUGUGUGAGCCUCGCUUCAACACCGGCUUUCACAGACAUGGCGCGCCUGACACUCAGAUCAAGCAGCUUACCUGGGGUCCCAAGUAUAAGGACUAGGACUUGAACUCAGUCUUGGCCUUUCCCGAAGCCUGUCUCUUUGUGCUAAGCCAGAGGGACUAGACUUACCUUCGCCACACGGCCAACAGGGAGGGUGGGCAGAGCUCAUCCCUUCUUUCCAAUGUCCCCGCGAGACAGAAACUUCUCUCAACACUUCUGCCUUUUCAGGAAAGUGCCGGCACACGGCAUUUUCACUCCUCUCAACUCUCCUUAUGGGCAUGAGAUCUUACGGAGGGUGAAAAACUUGGGGGUGGGUUGGCGAUCAGGUCUAUAAAGUAUUUGUUUCAGGGGGCAGAGAGUUGAACGAAGGGGAAGCUGCCAGUGAAUUUCUGGGGCAGAUUUAUACAUGGGGGUCUUGGCCAGGUGCCAGUCCUUAACGAUGUAAACGCUCCUGUCCAUUUUGCAUGCGGAAACUGCGUCAGGCAAAUUGCCGAGAACCUAAAGCUCCAGAGCAAAUAAACCGAGAGUUUUCUCUUUGGUUGGGAAGGGGACGAACAAGAAUGUACACGUGAGAAGGCAGCAUUACUCUUAACAGGUGCCUGCUCUUUCCCAAGUGACUGUAAUUUCCCUGUGUCUUAAUUCCCUAGCCGCAAAAUAGACACAGUUAUUCUUUACGAAUUGCACCAGGCUUUGGCCAAGACAGGUGGGGAAUAUAUAUGAGAAAGGGCCUUAUAUCCUUAGGAAGAAAGGCAGCUUGUACUCCAAGGUAUUUAUGUUAUUAAUUUUAUUCAAAAAUUAAAAAUGGAUUAGGGAGACCACAAAGGCAUUUUAUGGCUCUAAGGUGUCAGAAAGUUCCAGCUGAAUGGACUCAUCCAAGGUUUUCUUCAAAUGAACAGGAUUAAGCUAUUAUUUUUGUCAAUCUGGAUGGUUUCUUCACCCUGCACAAUUCUUAAAACCUCAUUGUGAUUCAUUUCAACUCUCAAAACUUGGGCUGAACACGUUUUAGUAGUUAGGCAGACUGGUUUAUAAAGCACGCAGAAAAUAGGGGUGGAGGCUAAUUUGGUUGGGAUUUGAGGUUUGUGGCAGGAGAGUCAAGGGUUUGCCUCCUUUAGGAAACAAACUCCUCCUCAAAGAAUAAGAAAAUUAUAAUCUGAAGGCUUGUGUGUUUUAAACAUAUAUUAAUAGAACUUUAUGUAUAUUUUUCUUGUUCAUUUUCAAUGUGGUUUAUGGAAAAGAGCACAGACAGUAAGUCGGGAGCUUGUCGGCUUUUUAGGGACCAGCUAUUUCCACUUCCCUAGAUGGCUUUACUCAAGUUCAGGUUCUGCAUUGGAGUCAUUAGCACCACCUCCAUUAGGUUUUCAUGGAAUGCAGCAGAAACUCUUACGUGCCUUCCUAAAAUAUCCCCCCUCACACCCCAGGGGGAAGAAACUUGCUUAUUUUUUUAGGAAAAGCAAGUGCCCAGCUAAAUACUCACAUUUUCACAGCGUCCCCAUACUGGAGUUGGCAAGGAGGACCUAAGUGGAGUUGUACUUUGGGUCUCUGGAGUAGUUUUUGGUUUCCUGAAAAAAACGGGGCGGAAAGGACUGGUGUCUCUUCCCCACUUCCUUCUGCUUGGAAUGUAGAAGUGUUGCUUGGAGCUGUGGCAGCCAUCUUGUAAACGUGAGAACAAAGCUGAAGACAGCAGAGCAGAAAGAUCGCACACUCCAGGCUCCAGAUGGCAACGAGUAAACGAGUAGAAGCCAAACCUAAAAUUUCCCGCCUAGGAAGUGGGCGGAAAAUAAACCCUGUUUGUAGAAGCCACUCCUAGCUGGCUUAUACAUGUACCUGAAUGUAUUCCUGACUGAUGAGGAAAGAGACUUCCUAGCACGAAGUUUGGCAUGCUGAGUUACCUGGCGAGUGCUUUGAGCAAGGUCGGGUUAAUAGUCCUUCUUUUUCAUUAGCCUAACACACAUUCAGCCUCCCUGUUGUGCUGGAUACUUUGUAGAGCUCUCCAGAGCUUCUCACACAAAUGAGACCGAGCCUUUGCCCUUGAGGUAGUCGGAAUCUCAAUAGGAAGACAAAGAACUAUAAUUCAAGGCCAUGAAUGAGUACUGUGUGGAAAAUGUACAGCAUGCUUUGGGACACGGGGUAGAACACCGAGGGUCAAAAAAUGCAAGACAAAGGGGAAAGACCCGUCUUCCAUCUGGGGAGCACGGGGCCAUCGGAAACCCUUCCCAGAGAGGUUGCUGUAGCUGCCUACGUCACGGCAUUGAGUGGCCCGAGAAUUUGAAUCCGAGUCCCUGAAAUAAACAGUAACGAUAAACACGGCUAACACUUAAGGAUCAUUUCCUUGAUGUCCGGCCCUCGACAAGUAUUACCUCAUUUAACAGCCACAACAGCUCUCCGAGCUAAGAACGAUUACCACUUCCCGUUUUACAGAUGAAGACACUGAGACUCAGUGAGGUAAAUGACUUGCCCCAAAUCACAUAAAUGGUAUAAAACUGAGGCUAGGAUUGGAGCCACGUAGCUCUGACUUUAUACUCUGAGCAUGGAACCGUCUUGAAACCUGUCCCGUUAAAUACCGUGGCAGUAUCGAUGGAAUAGGGUCCUCCGGUUCCCAAGUGGUACUUACGGUCUCAUUUUGAUAUUAUGACUCUCUUUGUAAAGGGCCGCUUUCUGGAAGCCCCACCUGCACAAGGUAUAUUAAGUGGAGGCUAAUAAUACAUUUUCACUUCAACUUGUUCUGUUCUGGCCUGUUUGUUUUUAUGUCUCCAAGUUACUAGUCACCUUCAGGGACAGCUGGAAUCCUAGGGAGGCUAGGGCGGGGGGCAAAUUCGGAGGAGGAUGCGAAGGCGUCCAGAGUCUUGCUGUUGGGUGGUUUGGGAGGCAGUUUGAAUCAGAGAAGACUUCAGGGAAGAGACGGCAUUUGAGCUUUGUGUAAUUGGAUUGGUUCAUAUUACUACUUCCUCUAGCCCGGCAUCCAAUCUAGCAUGGUGACUUGAGGCCUGGCUUUGAGAAGCUAUUUCAGGGAUCAUAGAUUCCCGUGGGAGAAGCUGGUUGACCUGAAGAAUGAAUCAUAUCGGACGUCCCUUGGGAGACUGGAGAGGUGUCAAGGGGGGCCGAGGACGCAGCGUUCUUGGACUGCCAUCGAAAGCGUGCAGUCUCUUCAUCUACAGCGCUUUUUGCACAGUGAGCUUGGACUCCACGUGUACCCACAGGUAGCACGUUGUUCGUAAGACGCCACACGUGCCGAGAUGCGGUAUUCACCGAGGCUUACCGCGACGCACAUGAAUUAGACAGGGGUGGUCCUGUGUAUGGUACGGCUGAGGAAACGGAGGCUCAAAGCAGUAAAACGACUUGCCCCUGGUCUCCCAGUGAAAUGGACUGAGGUAGCAUGUGCGAGCUUCAAGUCCAUUGUCCGUUCCGGGACGCCAUGAUGCUUGCCUGUCCAGAGCACAGGAACCAGGACCCAACCCCGUGUCUUGAGGCAGGGGUAUAUGGAUUCCCUUCACCCGUCACCCCCCGUCAAACUGGCAUCUGUGAGAAAGGCAGCAGAGGUGAGGUUGGGGAGCCAGGUUUGGUGAUUCACAAGGCCCAGGGAAGCUGGUGAGGGCGAGCAGAGAGUGGGGUCUGAGCGGUGAGAGAGCUUGCAAGGAAAGCCAGAGGGCACCAGCAGCCCGGUGGUGAACUCGAGUCCCAGAGCAACGGCACCCUCGGUGGUGUGCAGGCUUUGGUGGCAGAGAGUUCUGGGCUCAAGUUCAUUCCGCGUCCACCGGUGGAAUGCCAGGCAAACUGUAUGCACUAGAGGCAACGUGGUGAGGGGCCUGGCCUGGGGGAGCUUGCCGUCUAGUGGGAGAGACAGACAAAUAAACAGGUGCCCACCGUCCCGUGUGAGAGGGAGGCAUGCAGGCGGCUAACGUCGCUUGUGGGAGGGAAAUUCACUCCCGAGCGGAAGGUUUAGGGACACCUGGGUGGCUCCAUCAGUUAAGCGUCUGCCUCUUCCUUCCGACUCAGGUCGUGAUCUUGCAGUUUGCCGGACCCAGCCCCGCGCAGGGCUCCGUGCUGGGCUUGGAGCCUUCUUGAGGUUCUCUCUCUCCCUCUCUCUGCCCCUCCUCCCCUGCUCGUGCUCUCUCUCUUUCUCUCUCAAAAUAAAUAAAGACAUAUAAAAAUUUUGUAAAAAAGAAGUGGAAGGUUUAAAAUCAGGAUUUUAUCUUGAGAGAGGCUACGCCUAGAGUGGGAUCUCCUGAACAGGAGUUAGCCAGGAAAGGAGCAGGUGGUGAGGGAGGAAGACAGCAUUUGGAGACCAGCCAUACUCCCUUUCAGCACAGAAAUUUCACCGACCCCCUUCCCCACGUGUUCCCCUGUCAUUCCCCACACCCUGCUCCGCACAUUUCUGCGGAUUAGUGGACGUGGGCCCUCCACCCCCUGUAAAGUCACAGCCCUUUAUCUGAGCAUCCCUAGAUUCGAGAAAGUUCUUUCCUUUUACUCCAGGGGACUUCGUAUUGCCGAGACCACAGCAAUAUCUUCUGCCAUUGUGCAUUCUGCAUUUGUAUCAAAGUGACUGGUGAGGUAGGGCUUAAAAUAAUAUUAAUUCCCGUUUUUUAAAAAUUCCAGAGAGUCUGUCCUUGGAGGUCUGUCUCCUACUUCCAGCGGUAGAAGCAGUGGCUUACUACAGAAUGAAUCUCCUGUGUUCUGGGAAGAAUCUCUGGGUACGCCUCUCUCAUUUACGAUAAUGACACGCAGUUGUAAAGUUCGAUGGGACCCCUUGAUGGCUUAGUCAAGCUACCCUUUUCAGUCCCCUGGGUCUGAAGCUCUAAGUUUCCGGGCAUGAAGGGGCAGCUGAGUAUUCUCCCCGGGGAAGAGCACUCAGGCUCUCUGAAGCCUGUCGCGUUGAUAGUCAGCCAGCAAAUCUUACUUCCUGGCUGGAGAUCAUCUCCAUCGGGUCCUGCCUAGACAGAAAGCGCCAAGGAGAAAGGGAGGUUGGUAUAGUUACCUGUGGGUGCCACUGGGGACUGCAGCGAUUGUCUCACGGGGGGACAGCUGGUCCUGGCACAAUGUGUGGCUGGGGUUGGAUGUCAGUGUUGUGCCGGCAAAUGUUCAACAGCCGGCCCUUGUCAAAAGGUGCGCACAUAUCAACGUUCGUAAGUUUUAGAUCAUUUCUACUGACGUGAAAGACGUAUAGCACACAUUGUGUCAGUAAUAAUAAAAACAGAUAAUCCUCUUUAUUGUAAAUCCCAUACAGCCAGUUAAUUCUCAGAAAAUGUUUUGGGUUGAUUGUGUCCGAGCUCUUGACCCUGCAAUUUAUGGAUGAGUGUCAGCUCUCCACGUGAGUAGGUACAUAUAUUUUCCUUUAUGUUCAUGGGUACAAUGAAAGUAUAAUGACUAAAUAAAUGAUAAGAGUCUUCUUUACUGGUAGUAGUUUUUGAACCCUGGAAGAAUAGUUCCUUAAUUUGUUAUUUGUAAUUGGCAACAGAUAUGACCCACUUUUAAUUUUAACUUACAUAGUUAUUUUCUUUAUCACCUUCUUUUUUGGUAAUGUUUAUUUAUUUUUGAGAGAAAGAGGGGGAGGAGGGGCAGAGAGAGACGGGGGGAAAGAAGAUCCAAAGCAGGCUCCAUGUUGACCACAGCACUAACCGCGAACUUGAACUCACUAACCGCGAGACCAUGACCUGAGCUGAAGCCGUCUGCUCAACCGACGGAGACGCCCAGGCGCCCCUCUUCAUCACCUUCUGAAGCCUAGACAAUCAACAAUAGGACCUUCCAAUUUCUGUGGUGUAAAUGCUCCCACCCUCGUCACCGAUUCGGGCUACCGAUAUGAUGUCCCUGAAUGCAGGGUUCCAAAGAGAUGUCCAGGAGUCCAUCAGUAUGCACUGAUUCCAUUCUACAGGUGCACAAAUAGCUCUAAGAGAUGUAUAGACAAUACUAAACUGGAGUAAAAUGGUUAGAAAGUGGUGCUUCUUGAAUAUUUAUUACCUUUGAGUAUAAUUGAAUUACACAUUAUCUAACUUAAUGUUUAAUAACGUCUGUGGUUUUACAAUAGGGUGGAACAUUCCUGACUAUCCAACCAUCAGUUCUCCCACAUCCGUGUAGCUGGCUGCAGCACACCCUUGUUGGAAACCCCACCCGGUCAGAGUGCCCCGGUGUGGUAGCUGCGAUUUUUAGUAAGAGCCGAGCAGGAAAAAGCAGAACAAGGAGCCACAACUUUCAGAGCAUCUGGGAGGUUUCGGGAGGGUGAACUGUUUGUCCCAAUCUGCACAGAAAGUACUACAUCCUGAGAACCGCCUCGGUCCAAGGCAAACCAUGUUACCUAUCGCCCUUUGUGGGGGAUGCAUCUUUUAUGUGCUUUGGAAAAGCCCCCGGGUCGAGAACGCGCCGGUGUUGGAAGGGCAGGAGGCUAGGCCUGCCCGUGGUGGAGCGAGACAACCACAGCCAAUUGUCACCUGGCUGUGGGCAGAGCACCGCUGGUCUCCGUACAUGCCCUCUGAGGGGGCACCACCCCACCAGCCAGGUUUUACCCUCUACGGGCAGGGAUGGCUUCCCACUUGAAGAUCAUUUGUCUACACUGAAUCUAGUGCCGGCAACAGAAGCAAAGGCCACAGAAAUGUUGGUUCUCUUCGGGCAUUUGGAAGUAGACUACUAGUCCGUAUUUAAUGAACAAGGCUUGAGAUUCCUGAAGACUUCGGGGGACAGAAGGUGUGUUCCUUUCCUUGGGGUGCCGUAACAAAUUAACAAACAUUGGGCGCUGAAGGAAGAGAAGAGAGUUGUUGCACGGUUGUGGAGACCAGAAGUCCAAAGUCAAGGUGUUAACAGGCUUGUUUCCUUCUGAGGGCUGGGAGGGAGGGAUCUGUCCUAGGCCCAUAUCCGGCUUCUGGCUUGUGGAAGCAAAAUUCCGGUCUUCACAUGCUGUACUGUUAGCACGUGUCUGUCCCCAAAGCUCCCCUUUAUAUAAGGACACCGGUCGUACUGGGGUAGGGCUCACCCUGAUGACCUCACUGUACUUAAUGACCUCUGCCAAGCCCUAUCUCCAAAGAGCGUCACUGUUGGGAGUCCUAGGGGUUAUGAGCUCAACAUACGAAUUUUUAGGGUUCACAAUUCGAUCGACAACAGGAGGCAUCCCCAGCAAACAUACCCAUUUCCGCCAAUGUGGUCGUGAGAGUGGGUGAGUGAUCCAUUGGAAAAUUACAGCUGAGAUGUCAUUUCUGCCACAAGUCCCCUCCUGACUCCCUCCAUUGCCAACACUAGCCCGAGCCUCCUGCUGUGUGGCCCCACGCUUCCUGCACAGUCAUUUGUCCUAUUAUACUAGCCUCUCUUGACACAUCUGUACCUGUUGUCAGAUGGUAACCUCUCUGAAGGCAGGACGUCUUGCUAUUUACUGUAAUCCUAAACACGGUCCUUGGAACAGAGUAGUUCUCAAUGAAUGCAUGUUGAACACAUUUUUUUAAAUUAAAUUAAAUUAGAUUAGAUUCGAUUUGAUUUAAUAAUUGUUUUUAAUCCUUGUAAUAGACCCUGUUGAUGACUUUCCCCUAUUCCUUGAACACACAGUUCUUGCUGCUUCUUGCCUGAGGGCCCUUUCUGGCCACCCGAGCAGGGCAGCCUGCAGCUGCCAAGGCAUUGCAUCCUAUGGGUGCAGUCCUUGGUCAAAGGCUGAUGGAACUAAGUGGAUAGACACCUCGGGUGGUCUAAGUCCAAGGCAUGUGUAUGUUGUAUCACUGUUGACCCAGGGGGAUUCAGUUUCAGUUGCCUAGAAUGACAAUUCGUUGGACAAUGCUCCUUUGGCUUACUUCCUUCUCAUCCUUGCUAUCUGCCAUUUCCCUCUGCCGUGCGCAAUACCUGAAAAAUGCUCAAAAGAUGUUAUCAAUAUAUUCCACAAAGUCCUCAAGAGAAGAGCCUCGGGGGGUUACCCCAGGAGAGUUGGGGGCAAUGCUCCUCCCCUGGUUCCCUGCUAUUCAACACAAGCGGGUGCCUGUGUGGCUGACGUGCAACCGAGUAUCAGGUUUCUGUAUGGAAUUUAAUCGGACAAAAUAUCCCACUACGGAGAAAUUUGAACAUCUCUCCAUUUUUUUAAAGAGAAGUUGAGGCUCUAAGGAGAGGAAAGGCUGGUGUUACUCAGCUUUUUAAAGAUCUUUUUUUAAUGUUUAUUUAUUUUUGAGAGAGAGAGAAUGCGAGCGGGCUAGGGGCAGAGAGAGAAGGAGACGCGGAAUCCGAAGCAGGCUCCAGGCUCCGAGCUGUCAGCACAGAGCCCGACGCGGGGCUCGAACCCACGAGCCGUGAGAUCAUGACCUGAGCUGAAGUCGGACGCUCAACAGACUGAACCACCCGGGGAACCCCGGUGUUACUCAGCUUUUUAAUGGCAGGGUCAGGAAUAGACGUCAGCUGCGACUGGGAACUCCUUCAGGAAAGGAAAGUUCUUAUUACACGAAUGGUGUAUACAUGUGUUGUUUUGUCCACCUAAAGUAUGUCCCCCUUCCACUGGAAAAGCACCUUAACUUUCCUUAGGGAAGCUACCCUUCUUUUACAGAAUUAUGGGUGAAUUCUGUCAUCUGAUUUCAUCCCCGGGUACCCAGUGGGGCACCAGCAUGAGCGGAGUCACACUCUACAUGAACUACAAGUGUGAAAGCCUAGACUCCCGGGGAACUCCGAGGAAAAUCUUCCCACGAUGGGACCCAAAGAGAGAAAGAGCAGAGAAAUGCAGCCAGCGACACAGUUUGGUGACAUUGCUUUGGCCCCCGGAUCCAGCCGUGCCUGAAGACAACUCUUGAGUUCUGUUACAUGAAUCAAAAAAUUUAUUUGUUUCCGUUAAUCUAACCUGAGUUGUGUUUCUCUUAUUGUUGACUCCAGGAGACCUAAUUAGUACAUUAUGCCUUCUUCCAACCCUUGAGGAUUUGGUUGAGGAGCUUGGACUUGGAAACUCAGCGCUCAGUGAUGCAUUGCCGAUCAUUGGGUCUCCAGUGCCAAGUUCAUGGCCUACCAUUUUGUUGGCCCUAAUUAAAUAUUUGGUGUCUGAAUGCCUGAAUGUCUUCUUUUUUUUUAAAUUUCAGGCCCCACUUGCUUUUUCAUGUUCAGUGAGAAAUCUGGCUUCUGAAUCUAAUCGGUCUAUUUUCUCUUUUGCCUAGGACCUUAGAAUGAUAUUUAAAAAAAUUUUAAAGGCCUCUGGGGAUGCUCAACGUGGUCCCAGGUGAGACAUGCCCCAUCCGCUGGUCAUGGGUAACACACAGGAUGGAGCUUCUUCUGACCUAUAGUGAAUUUGUCAGUUUCCAGUGCUCCCAAUUUGCUUCUACCUGAGGUUUUUCUUUCACUUCCCCAGGAACCUUCUGGAGCAGACAGGGAUUAUUUUUGGCUCAGACCUAUCUUGUCAAGCUCACUGCCAUCUCCAAUUCACAGGCUGGCACAUGUGGGGCAGCUACUGAAGCCUCAUGCCCAGUGGGCAGCUAUUUUGGGUUGUUUGUGCCUGACACUGGGGAGGGCUUCCUGCCUGACUCACUGCCCGGUUGAGCCCCCAUUGUGCUGGGCCGGGGUGGCUCAGCGGUCUGUUCCUAUGCCCUCAUCAAAGAGCAGCAUCCCCGGAUCUUGCAGUCAGCCACGCAGACUGGCCUGAGCAGCAACUGUGGGAUGCUAAAUUUAACCACAGCCUCUUUAGGAAACGAGAUGCUGGGAGAUUUUGAGACGGAAAGUGGGGGUAUUGUUUUUGUCUCGUAUUUUUUUCUUCUGGCAUUGGAAUAGACUGAGUUAAAUCCUGGUUGAACUAUUCCUUGUUAGCCGUGUGAUCUUGGGAAAUUUACGUUACUACUCUCAGCCCCAGCCCCUGCCCCCUCCCAUCAGAUGGUAAGGAUAAGAUCCAUUGAGUGGGGUUAAUUAAGGAUUAGAAGUGAUUAACUUCUUUAAAAGGGUCUGAUAUAGUGCCUGGCCUCCAAUUGAAAACCAUGAUAUUCUAGUUUCUCAUUAA